rnacentral:rRNA from 1 species
UACGUAGGGUGCAAGCGUUGUCCGGAAUUAUUGGGCGUAAAGAGCUCGUAGGCGGUCUGUCGCGUCGGCUGUGAAAUCCCGGAGCUCAACUCCGGGUCUGCAGUCGAUACGGGCAAACUGGAGUACUGCAGGGGAGACUGGAAUUCCUGGUGUAGCGGUGAAAUGCGCGGAUAUCAGGAGGAACACCGGUGGCGAAGGCGGGUCUCUGGGCAGUAACUGACGCUGAGGAGCGAAAGCGUGGGGAGCGAACAGG